rnacentral:rRNA from 1 species
AGUGAACGCUGGCGGUAGGCCUAACACACGCAAGUCGAACGGCAGCACAGUAAGAGCUUGCUCUUACGGGUGGCGAGUGGCGGACAGGUGAGGAAUACAUCGGAAUCUACUUUUUCGUGGGGGAUAACGUAGGGAAACUUACGCUAAUACCGCAUACGACCUACGGGUGAAAGCAGGGGAUCUUCGGACCUUGCGCGAUUGAAUGAGCCGAUGUCGGAUUAGCUAGUUGGCGGGGUAAAGGCCCACCAAGGCGACGAUCCGUAGCUGGUCUGAGAGGAUGAUCAGCCACACUGGAACUGAGACACGGUCCAGACUCCUACGGGAGGCAGCAGUGGGGAAUAUUGGACAAUGGGCGCAAGCCUGAUCCAGCCAUACCGCGUGGGUGAAGAAGGCCUUCGGGUUGUAAAGCCCUUUUGUUGGGAAAGAAAAGCAGCAGGUUAAUACCCCGCUGUUCUGACGGUACCCAAAGAAUAAGCACCGGCUAACUUCGUG